GAUGAACGCUGGCGGCGUGCUUAACACAUGCAAGUCGAACGAAGCACUUUAUUUGAUUUCCUUCGGGACUGAUUAUUUUGUGACUGAGUGGCGGACGGGUGAGUAACGCGUGGGUAACCUGCCUUGUACAGGGGGAUAACAGUUGGAAACGGCUGCUAAUACCGCAUAAGCGCACGGCAUCGCAUGAUGCAGUGUGAAAAACUCCGGUGGUAUAAGAUGGACCCGCGUUGGAUUAGCUAGUUGGUGAGGUAACGGCCCACCAAGGCGACGAUCCAUAGCCGACCUGAGAGGGUGACCGGCCACAUUGGGACUGAGACACGGCCCAAACUCCUACGGGAGGCAGCAGUGGGGAAUAUUGCACAAUGGGCGAAAGCCUGAUGCAGCGACGCCGCGGGAGCGAAGAAGUAUUUCGGUAUGUAAAGCUCUAUCAGCAGGGAAGAUAAUGACGGUACCUGACUAAGAAGCACCGGCUAAAUACGU
rnacentral:rRNA from 1 species